UACGAAGGGGGCUAGCGUUGCUCGGAAUCACUGGGCGUAAAGCGCACGUAGGCGGCCUUCUAAGUCGAACGUGAAAUCCCCGGGCUCAACCCGGGAACUGCGUCCGAUACUGGAAGGCUUGAAUCCGGGAGAGGGAUGUGGAAUUCCAGGUGUAGCGGUGAAAUGCGUGGAUAUCUGGAGGAACACCGGUGGCGAAGGCGACAUCCUGGACCGGUAUUGACGCUGAGGCGCGAAAGCCAGGGGAGCAAACGGG
rnacentral:rRNA from 1 species